ensembl:lncRNA
UUUGUGUUGAUUUUUUUCCCCCCUAUACAAAAGAUAAAUAUGCCCAGGAAUUUUUUUUCACUACGGGUUUUCAUCUUCUCGACCUCUUGUAAACUAAGCGGGGUCAAUCACUGGUCAGUUCUUCAGGAAGAGACCUCAAGGGAAUAAAAAACCCACAGUACAUUAGGAAAAGGAAUACUUGUGACUUGUGACUUGGCUUUUUAGUGUGUAACGCUACGCUGUUCGAGCCGACAGCGAAUGCUCAUUGCAGGCAGGGCUGGGAAGGCAAUCACAGCUGCAGAAGGCUCAUUCUGCCUGUGGAUGUGAAGCCGGGGUGAGAUGGCAUCUUCAGGGAGCCAAAUGGAAUUAGGAACCAGAACUGUAUGAGAGUCAAGCAGCCUUCGAGGUCCUGUAAGAAAAUGCCAGCAUUGGGUGGUGAAGACCAGGAAGAAAGCAGUUCAGGCUGGAUUUGAUGCUGGAGCCUGGGGACCCUUCAGGCAGCUGCAAUGAUCUGAGAUAGUUCAGUACAACAGAGAAGCCAGUCUUCAGACUGAAGGGGAAGGAGGAGACAGUUGAGAUCCGACAGCACAUCCAAGGGAAAAACAAACAGAUCAGAGUGGCUCUGCAACACACCAUAUUUAGUGAGAUCAACAGGAAAAAUAAUAUCCAGCUUCUCUAGUUGCUGAAAAUUAAAUGACUGCAAAGAGCAUGAGCUGUGUUUUCAUUCCAGACCAUGGUAUCUCCAAAUGAAUGGGGAAACCAUCAAGCUUAUGCUUGGGUGAUGCAGGAAUUUCUUGUCGAUUCUCCCUCUCCAGAAUGAUUCAAAAAAGACCCAUUUUCAGUGCUUAGCUCCAGUUCCAACAUCCAGACGAAAGGCACCAUUAAUGGGACAUCUCCAAUUAGUCAGAAGAGAUCUGGUCUCCAGGGACUUGGAUAAAGAGAAGGACGCUUUGCUCAGCUCUGAGCUGGCAGGUGUCCGCUUUCCAGGGCGACAGAUCCAAGUACCUCAACGGGAAUUUUAGAUAACACUCUCAAGAUGUUGCCAGAGCUGCUCAUCAGAACUGCUCUGAUUGACUAGCAUUACUGAACAGCAGCUAUUUUGUCCCUUUGAUCACGGCUGGUCCUCAAGUCAUGGACGAAUUAAAUAUUGAAUAGGCUGUGUGACGGCUCAGGACAGCUGUUGUGUCAAAGCAGCCCUGAAGGCCUCCGUGCAGUCAGCAGGCACAGGGUCACAGCAAUGGGGAGAGCCAGCAGCAUCCUUGGCUGGUCUCCAGAGAAGAGCUGAAGCCACAGACUCAGCAGUUGGAGGAAGAGUGACCUUGCAGCCCAAAGGGUGGAUCUGAGCAGAACUGGAGGAUUUUAAACCCAGGAUUUGUGCUUUUCCAGAAUGCAGAAUGUUAUUCUCUGGACUGAUACCACACUGCCAAAGGGGGUUCAUGCAAGUCUGACCAAGUAUUUUUUCCACUGUGUAUGGCUCCUGGGCCAUGUGAAUACAGGUCCAUCAGAAACAACUCAGAAGCUGCAAGGCACAGAAGAGCUACCACAGUGACCAAUUCCCUACUCACACGUGAAGAAAUGCUGCACUGCACAAGCAAAAACACUCUGUGCUUUGUGCAUGCAAGGAAUUGUCUUGCUUAUACUGCUAACUGCACCAUAUGCACACUGUAGGCUGGAAAUGUCUGGUACUGAACCUGAGACGUUGAGCCUCGGGGUGCCAAACACUAGAGAAGUCCAAGGAAAGUACUGGCACAGGUGGAGCUAGGGAGGAUUUGUGAAUCUGAAGGCGCCCUGAAAUCCCUCUGGUAGCUGCUAUUUGACAGCUCUGUGAUUCUGAAUAUGGUUUUCUGGCUAACCCUCAAAAAUCGCACAAAUGACAGUGACUUUGGUUACAGCACAGCAGCACUUUAAUUGCAACAAGGGCCCCUGCUAAUUUAGCAGAAACCCUUUUAGCUCAGAUAACUGCUCCGCUAAUGAAAUCAGAGCCAUCACCACUUCUGGCUCCCCAUGGUAAAACCUCUGUCCUUUCCAGGGAGUGAAUCUCACCAUAGCUUCAGACAGAAGUUUUAAUGGGCUUUAGCAGCCUUUGAGGGAAAGUGCUUGAAGGACAAAAUAAAUCAUCUCUCUUGCCGUGCUGUCAUAAAACCCCCCUUCCCCUUAAUAUUCUUUUUGCAUCACCUUCCAGUUCUGCCACCAUCACGUCUACAAACCUUAGACUUAACUUGAAAGAGAAGAUCUACCCAAGUGGAACAAUAAAGACCCCCAAAGUUUCCAUACUUCAUAUCUAAGAUUUAGGAAAGCAGAACAGCCCCACAAAUCUAAAGACAAACUCAUUUGCCUCCCUGUGUAUCUGAAGAUGCCACUGUAACCUAAUUCCAGCAGGACAAUUCCCACCUCCACUCAACACUAAUGCUGGUGGAUCUGUAAAGCAGAUGGAGAGAAAUGCAGCUUCUCUCUUCCAGCACAAAAAAUGGAAAGUACAAGACCUGGAGUGCUUAC